rnacentral:lncRNA from 1 species
UCUCUGCGGCUCCGCCCCAUUUGCCUUGCUCAACUUGCUCAAGCCCAUCCAGCGGUCCUCUGGGCCCAGCCCAAGGAGGGGCAGGUGCGCACGGAGUGCGCUUGCGCGCGCCAGCCCCGCCCCGGGCCCCGCCCCCGACCCGCGCGGGGCCCUGGGAGGGGCGCAGCGUCCGGCGUCGUCGCGGGCGGCGGGGCUGGGGCGGCGGGAGGGGCGGCGGGGGCAGACAAAGCGGCUAAUGAAUGGGCGCGCCCGUCGCGCUGUCCGCAGCCCGCGGGCCCGCGCUGCGCCGCGCGGAGCCGGCGCCUCAGGUCUCUGGUGGUCCUCGAGUUUGGAGAGAGAGAACUGGGAAGUGGAGCUCUAGAAGCAUGGAGACAGCUCAAGCUUGUUCUUAAAGGAAAGGUACCUGCUGGCCUGAGUUCUGUGGCAGUAACUUCCAGGAUAUGCAAAAGGACUGUGUGUAUGUGCCCUCAGGAUGGUGGGGCUCCUGUCUUGGAGAAGAGAAACAAGCCUGUGCUACAUGUAUUGGUGCAUACACCAAGAAAUACUUGUUCGUAGCACUCCUGGAGAACAGCACCCAUGCUCUGUGACAGUGUGCUUAUGUGAGCUACAUACUCUGCUUUCCAGUGAAGUUCAUGGUCAGCCAUAUUAAACAUCCUAGAAGAUGGGAUUAUGAAAAAGUGAAUAAACUCUACUUUGGGUGUCA